UUUGUCCUGCGCAUGGGGCCUGGGGGGAAUCAGCCUCCAGCCCUCAUGGGGACCACAGAAGGGAAUGAAGCAAAGAAGGAUCUGAGGUCUGAUACUUCCCAGCAAGGACAGCCAGCGGGGCAGAGGGUGGGGAUGUGGUCUGAUAACAGCAUGUGAAACCAUGCCACGGGAGAGCAUCCUGGAGAAGAAAGGUCCCUUUAAUCUCCCCCCCCAAAAGCACUAACAAGACUCAGAGCUUGCAGCAGAAGAAACCAAGGAGUUAGGCACACACAUUUUUAGGUCAGGGUAGCCAGGACAGGCAACUUUUCAGUUGCUGGGUUUAACCUCCCCAGUUAAUGGCUCAUAUUCCAAACAUGGAUAGAGUUUGGCCAAGAGCACUUCAUGAUUUCUUCCACACACGUGGCCACACCAGACCCGACCUCAGUGCUCAGCACCACGGGCCAUCACUGACACACCAUGUGCAUCAGGCUUAGCAGCAACCACUAUGGCACCCCCAGUACAGCCCAGCUUGCCAAUGCUCCAGUAAAGCCACAUCUGGGCAGCUGCAGGACCAAAUUACCAUCUUCCCAUAGGCACUAUUAGCCCCUGAGCAGCCUCACCUGGGACCCAUAUCCCCACCCAUGGGCCAGGAGUUUAUUUAAGCUCAGCUGGGGGUGCUAGUCCUGCCCUGAAGGAUGCUCCAGCCUUGCUCCUAGCCAGACCCUGCUGGGUAUCACCCCUGCAAGCAGCUCCUGCCCCAGCUCAUUAACAGAAGGACCCCUCUUGCUCGCCGGCGGUUUGUGUGACCAGGAUGCUGCUGAACAAACCACCCUUAUUCUGCCCAGUAUAGAAGGAGCUUUGAUAAACCCAGGAAACCCUCAGCAAGCAGCGAGGGUCCUUCUGGAAAGCCGGCUCUCACUGCCUUUGGGAACAGCUGCAGGACCGGCAUCUCCAGCCAGAGAGCUGGCAUCUCCAGCCAGCUCAAAUGCGAUUCCCCCAGGGCUGUGCCAUGCGCUCGGGUGGUCCCUUCCCAGAGGGUGCCUUUUGGGAUAAGCAGCUCUGCAAAAAGGAAAGCAUUCCUGCCUGUUUUAUUUUAACACUUUGGGCUUGAGGGCUGUUAUUCGUAACUUGUCAAGAUCUUGGCAUCUGCAGCUGAUUUGUCAUCCACCAUAAAAUGGAGGAUGAGCAUCUUUGGUUCAGAAGUGGGCCAAGUGAGAUGAUAGCUCAAAGCAAAAUAGGCUUCAUCUCGAGUCUUCUCCGUGGGCUUCAGCUCCUUGGGGAAGGAGCGGACAUUUGGGGUCUAAGUUGCAUCACAGGCAUCAUGUGUAAGAGCCCUUGGCGUGCUCUGCAUCUGUGACAGAAGAGCACGGUGCACAUUAACCUCCUAGCUGCCAGAUGAAGUUUUGCUUGGCUGAUGCCCUCUUCAACCUCUCCUCAGUGCCAAGCUGUUCACCUGCCAUGGGGAUGCUACUGAGAUACACAAAUGCUGUUAUUUUAUAUAUAUAUGUAUAUUAAUGAAUCUAGCAACCUCUUUAAAACCCAGGCAAUGAGAUGCAGCAACUGAGGGGUGUACCUUGGCAUGCUGAAGUUUGGAGAUAGAUAAAUUAUUAAUUCUGCCAUUGCUGAUCUGCCCAUAGCUCUGUGCUCCCUCCCUUCAGCUUGUGUCCGGCACUGUAUCCGGCCCCUGGCUGCUCUGGGCCAGGCAGCCACAGACAAAGCAGCCACAAACUACACGAAAAAGCAUCUUAAUCCAUAGGUAUUUUAUCGUGCUGACACCACCACGAGGCAGCAAGAACUCGAGUUUGAAGCCAUAGAAUUAAAGCUCUCUGCAAGUA